CAUGCUCGAUGGUGUUUUUUGCCUCCAACGUUGCCUUCCAGGCAGCUAACCCUAACCUUAACCCUGAACAUAACCACUGCCGCGCUGCCUGGGAGGAACUGUUGGGGGCAAAAAAAACACCAAACACCCUUCUUCAACCAUAGUGCCAAAAUUGUUUCAU